rfam:Mycoplasma sp. (ex Biomphalaria glabrata), complete genome.
GGCUUUGUAGCUCAGUCGGUAGAGCAAAGGACUGAAAAUCCUUGUGUCAGCGGUUCAAUUCCGCUCAAAGCCA